GUAUGUUGAUUAGAAUGAUCUAGUUCCGAGUUGUAGGGGUGGGAGGGAGUUACUAUGUUUCAGCUAAGCUUGGAUAGAGAAAAAAUCUAUUUAAUCGACGAGGUAUAUAAAGAUGUACUGAAAAUAUAUUUUGGUAACUCCUAAUUGGAUAAAUAUGAAUAAUUUUUUAAUCUUAAUAAAUAUCACAAUCUAUAUAUCUAUUUAUAUAACUGCAUUUUUGACAAGAAAUAUUGAUAAAAAAAAAAGGUAAAAAAAUCCGAUUUUUAAAAUAGAAAAGGUAUGUUUUGGUUGAAGGUAACAAUUUAAUAUGAUCAAUGAUUUGUAAUAAAUAGUUGAAAAAAACGAGAAAUAGGUGAAAUUAUUAUACUGUAAGCUGCAGGUUUGGUAUUAUAUUUAUCUUUCAUCAUAAUGGAUGCUAUAUUAUCGAUGACAUUUUAUAAUAAUGGAGAUAUAUCCUAUAUUAUAUCUGCAAUACCAGGAAAUAAUUCUACAAUUUCAACUAUUUGAACUAUUCACAAUUAUAAUAGAUAAACAUGAUGCAAUAUAUUUCAUUCGGCUGAAGAAGAAAUUCAAUUGACAAUGGAAACAGAUUUCUGCUAAAAGAAGAGUAAAACUGAUUGUAAUAUAUAUCAUUGUUUACUAUUUUACGUUUAACUAUUUUAGAUCUACAAAAAUUGACAUUUCAUUUUAAUAAAUGUAUUUUAAAAUUACAUUUGACCUUGAUAUUUUUAUAAUUUAUCAAGACAUAGGUAUAGGACAUAGGUCUAGGAAAAAGGAGACAAAGGAAUAAAGCUGCCGAUGGUUUUAUUUUUUCACAAUGAGAAAAAGGCGGAUUAGUAUAUAUUUCAAAUAAUUUAAAUAUAAAAUUAGUUAUAGCAUGUUAAUAAGCAUGGUAGUGUUAUAUUCAUAGAAAUGCUCAAAUUAUCGUUAUUUAAAUAUACCUGUUUUGGCUCUUUUGGAUGUUUGUGAUUUUUGCUUCAGGAAAUCGAAGAUAAUUUUAUUCUUAUAUGAAUUUUAUGAUAAAUUUUCUAUUCUAUGGAGAAAAAUGCUAUGAAAUACACCUGAAUAUGUAUGUAUUAUAUAAAUAUUAUUUUUAUUAUAUUUAGAAAACGAUGCCGGAUAUAUGAACAGUAUAAAUAUAAAGCUUAUAUUCAAGAUAACAACGGGGUGAAUAACUAUCGAUAUUUGAUAUAUUUAUGAAGAUAAGUUUUCAAUUAUAUUUAAAUAUGAUAAUAUAUAAGUUGAAAUAAAUUUUUAUUGAAAUUUUUUAUUUAAAAGAAAAAGAUGAAGGAUUAAAUUACUAACUUUAUAGUAUCUAGAUACAUUUCAGAAAAUUUGUGAUAUAGAAAAAAAUUUUCUAAAUGGAAGAGAGGUCAUUGUUAUAUCAUCUUAGCCGAGAUUUGAUUAAGACUUGGCUGAAUCUAAAUUUAUUUUAGAUAAUAAAAAAAGUAUGUGUCAGGUAAAUUAAAUGUUCAAAAAACUUACAUAUUUUAAAAAUGUAUUUAAAAUAUGUUGUUAAAAAUAACUUCGGUUAUAUCAAGAUUAUAGUUUAUCUAAAUUGAUGAACAUGAGUUUUCAUUUUCGAUUUUACUUUUUGAAGAAAAUAUCGAAUAUUAAAUCGAAUAUAUCUAUUCAAGAAAAAUUUAAAUCAAGAUAAAUUGUUACAACUUGAAAUGCUGAUUACGUUCAAUUAAAUGGAUCAUUGGAUAAUUGAAAUAUAUUCGACAAGAUUUUUAAAUUAAUAACUUUAUAAAUCUCUCCUAAUUAGAAAAGAAAUAUAAAUGUUCUUUUUUUUUUUAUUGAGAAAUGAUUUUAAAUCUAAUAAAUAAUGAUCUGAAAUUAAUUCGAGUAAAAUCUGUCGUACAUACAACAAUUGAAGAUUUUGAAUGUAAAAAAAAUUGACGCAAAAUUAAAAUAGGAUUUAAUUUUUCAUUAAAAAAUUUAAUGAUGAGUGUACAUUUUCAGAACAUAUUUGAAAAUAUUUAAAAAAAUAUAUAUAUAUAAAAUUGAAGUAAUUUUCUUUGUAAUAAAAAAUAAUAUAAAGUGAAUAGAAUAAUAGAAAUACAAAUAGUAAUCUAUAACAUCUGACAUAGUUCGAAUUAUUAAAAAUGAUUAUAUUCUUCAAAAAACAUAACCUUAAGUUAGUAUUAAAUCAAUAUUAAAAUACAAGUUUCAAUUUGAAUAUAAUUAAAAAACUAUACUAUCAUAAAAACAUAGAAGAAAAACAAAGUUGAUUAUAAUGUAUUGUGAAAGUAAUAUAUAACAAUAAUAAUUUAAGAUAUGAAAAUUUAUAUUGAUAUUCGAAAAAUUUAAAUUGCAUUCACUACAUAUUAUUUCGUAAAAUUGUAG
rnacentral:misc_RNA from 1 species